GACGAACGCUGGCGGCGUGCUUAACACAUGCAAGUCGAACGGAAAGGCCCUGCUUUUGUGGGGUGCUCGAGUGGCGAACGGGUGAGUAACACGUGAGUAACCUGCCCUUGACUUUGGGAUAACUUCAGGAAACUGGGGCUAAUACCGGAUAGGAGCUCCUGCUGCAUGGUGGGGGUUGGAAAGUUUCGGCGGUUGGGGAUGGACUCGCGGCUUAUCAGCUUGUUGGUGGGGUAGUGGCUUACCAAGGCUUUGACGGGUAGCCGGCCUGAGAGGGUGACCGGCCACAUUGGGACUGAGAUACGGCCCAGAAUCCUACGGGAGGCAGCAGUGGGGAGUAUGGCACAAGGGGCGGAAGCCAGAUGCAGCAACGCCGCGUGCGGGAUGACGGCCUUCGGGUUGUAAACCGCUUUCGCCGGUGACGAAGCGUGAGUGACGGUAAUGGGUAAAGAAGCACCGGCUAACUACGUG
rnacentral:rRNA from 1 species